rnacentral:lncRNA from 1 species
GAGCCUGAUACUGGUAGCCGUUUCCAAAGUAGUUCCCAUGACUAGGAGAGAAGUUGUACGUGGCAGAUCCAAGAAGUAAGGGUCCGUGAUUGUCAGCAGGUCCAGCGUAAACAUAGGGUCUGUCAUACACGUACUGCGGGUACCUAUCAGGGACUCUAGGAUAGAAUGUUUUGUCAGCAGCUACGUUAGUGACUCGUGGACCAUAUCCUGCACCAUUGGCACGAGGUCUCUUGGGUUGAGGCUUUGCAGC